AUGGCAGCAAUAUUAUGGCACUGGAUUUGUCAGCUAGAGGAGCAUGAGUGGCAAGACACAAACCAUAUCAAUCAGGGAACUGAAUUUGCUGUUGAAAAAGUACUAAUUGAGAGUAAAAAACCCAGGAUUUUUGCAGAGCUAGAACUGGUUUCACACAGCUAACUUGAAAAGCCAUCCUACUGCCUGGUUGCAGACCUGGUGAGCAUCUUGACUUGUGUUCUGUCACAUGUUCUUAUCACUGAGGGCCUUUUUCAGCCUUCUGUUUACAAGGGCCUUCAGCACUGAAUUCAUUUGGACUGUACAAACAAGUCAAUCCUUUUUUAGUUCCAACACAUCACUACGAAAAUAGUUUUUCAGCAUUUCACUAACUAAAAGAAAUGUAUUUAAAGUCCUUCAAAAAUGUAUUUAAGUCUAAAUGACACAGAAAGCAAGAAUUUCCCAACAGCUAACGUGUUUAUUUAACUGUGACUCUUUGGUCGUUAUAUCAGUUGGUUCUUUCUCAAAAAAGAACAAACCCUUCCAAAUUAGGCCAGCAGACCCCUGGGAUCACAGCAAGAUGGAUCUACAAGAUGGAUCUACAAGAUGGACAAAUGCAGCCACAAGUCAUUCCUAAAUCUCCAGAGCCAUUCUCCUAGCACCUUCAUUGCCCACGCUUUUCCUCUGUUCCAUGGGUAUCAUCCUCCAGUCCAUCAUCCCAGACAACUGAGAGCCAACACAUCUGACAGAAACAGGGUGUGCUUCUGCCGUGUUUUUGAUGGACUUUAGGAGAAAAAUAAUUGGCAACUUUAUUAACAUGUUACAUGCCACUGCCCCCAGACUCCCAAGCUGGUUUAUUAAUUUAGGCAUCAUUCAGCCUGAAUAAAAUUGGGAGCCAAUGUAAUUUAUAAUCUAGCUAAAGACAGAAGUAGACACCCACAUCAGGAGAAUCCCAACACUCCUGUUGGCUACCAGAAAUCAGACUGCUAUAAACCCUGGCCAGAGAUGUCUCCUGUUACAGAGGGGGAAAAGACUUUUCAGAAGAGCUGAUGGAAUUGCAGUCUGCAGCACACCAAGGGACACAGCUGCAUUCAGAGUAGCUCCUCACACAGUGCUUUGCACAACAUCAGAGCUGGAUUCAGAGCCCAGGUGCCACUACUGCUAUUUCCAAUAUUUGACUCCAGUUAUAUUAUGCAGAUGACGUUUCUGGCAGAUUUUAGCUGAAGACAUAGAUUAACCAAACUGGUGCAGGGUCUCAUACUGCUGUAUUUGCAUUAAUGCCUGACUGACAUGGCUUGGAGCAUGAGGGUUAUCAAGACAAGGACCUUGAUUUUUGUCAUUGCAGAAAACUGAUUAACAGCUCAUUACAAACUAGAAAAGUCUCAGUUACUCCAACACAUGCAGAAUACUGUCUCUUCUUUAUAGAAGCAUCUGGAUGUCACUCCCACUGGCCCCACCAUCACAGGCCACAUCCCAGGCUCCAAGCAACAGGCACUGCAGAGCUGAAGCAAAAUGCUUGAACAGUGAAAACAUCAAAGUCAGAUCAAGUUAAAAGGGUUCCAGUGCCAGUUUCAGGAUGAUAGCCACCAUUAAAUAAGAAAUUGUUUCAUAGGCAUUAAGAGUCCUGUAAUGGCUCACAGGGGGAAUUAAAGGAACGAGAUAAAAAAGAUAUCAAGUUACAGGUCUGAUUGACUGGACUUUUCAGUAAGCUUCAUAAGAAAAUUGUUUUGUGCAGAAGAUCACAGAGAAGCUUAACUCAAUAUAAAGGGAAAACCUGACAGAACAUUUCCCUUUCAAAGGCAGACAGCUCUAUGUGGAGACAGAAGUCCUACACUAUCCAGCACAUUCUUUGAAAGCUUUACCAAGAGGGCUUCCCAGUUGUCAGUCACAGUACAACAUGGCCCUCCAGAGACAUUACAGAAGACUGAGACAACUGUGUUGCAAAGUCUCCAUCCACAAUAUGAAGUUAACGAAACGUGAUCACCUCACUCUUGAAGAUCAUCUUAAAUGAGAGCUGAACAAAUGCUUGCAUUUUAAAAAACUGAACUGCCAGAGAUACAAACAGGCCAAUAGGCAGGUGGAUAUUUGGUUAGUUUUGGAAGGAAUAAGACAACUCCUCUCCUGCAGCAAGUUCAGGAAGCUCACUCCUUAAAUUAAUAAGCUGGCAGGGGACCACAGAAUUGCUGGAAUAUUCCCUUUAAACCUUAGUCUCGGCAGAGGAAUCCACUAGGGAAUAACCACAGGGCAUCAUGCACCAGCAUUAAGUACAACGGGUGAUACAUGCAUACAGAUUAUAUUUGCAAUAAACAAUAUUCAUGAAUUUCCUAUCAGCUCCUUAUGAUGUCCUCAAAUCCAUCUUCCCUGCAAGCUACAAAAUGCCUUAUUUAAAUGACAUGACAGCAAGAUUUAUGAGAGCCACUCAUCUUUCAACCGAGUCUGAGACUGCCCAACUCCAGUGUUUAUCCAGUUCUACAAAAGGGACUGAUCUUUGCUGUAUUUAUAGUUACUGUUCAUUAGCACUACCAGUUUUAUGAAAGUAAAAUUUCUUCCUAUGUGUAAAGUGCC